rnacentral:lncRNA from 1 species
AUGCAGCUUACCAGGAAGAUACUGGAUUUGAAGCAGGAUGAGCAGCUAUAUCAUAAUCUUCAUGAGGAGAUCAAUCAUAUGGCCCUCAGACUGGAAAAACAGGGGAAGGCUGAAGGAAAGACCAUCUCAACCCGCAGGAAACACAUCAACAAAAUGUGGCUGAAGGCUCAAUCGCACUUGAAGGAAUAUCACGAGAAUCUUCAGCUCGCCCUCGAAGUCUCGUCCUUCUACCAGCAGGCCGAUAACAUUGUCUGUUCCAUCAGCAACAUGAAAAAAACCCUCUCAGCGAGCAACGGAGUGGAAAACGCCAGAGACGGGGAAAUUCGGGACAUUGCCAGUCAAAUCAUGAUGCUGGAUGUGAGCGUUUCCCAGCUCUCCAACCUGCACCCGGCGCUGGCGACCCGCGUCACACAGAAGCAGAGCGAGGUGAAAGACUGCUGGGCCAUUCUCCAGAAGACUCUCAGGAAUGAAAAGGCAGCUCCGCUCCCCUCCGACCCCUCGUUAACCAGGGACAGCAGUGACCCUGUAACCCCGAGCCAAGAGCCACCCGGCAGCGUGGGAACAGACCCACACAGGAUUAUGGGAAAGGAGGUUAAAGAGGAACAAAAUCGUCUGAAGGGGUUUACGACUCUCUCCUGGCUCAAAGACAGCGUUGCGAUGGCCACUCAGAUCUGCAGUUUGGCCGGACCGAACGGUUUUGAAGCAGCCAAGAGGCGUCAGGCCUCACUGGAACAGGAUAUCCUGUCCAACAGAGCCAGGAUAGAGCUGGUCAAGAAGGAGGGUUACAGUCUGGUGAGGGCUCAGCAUCCGGGCAGCAUCAAGAUCCAGGAGUUUCUGAGUCAGCUGGAGGUUCUGUGGGACGAGCUGAAGAGAAGGCAUGAGAGGAACGGUCUGGUCCUGAAGGUCUCAGAGGAGCUCAACUGCAGGGUGGUGCGGAUGCUGCAGUCUCUGGCCAGUCUUCAGGCGUGGUUGGAGGCGGUGGAGCUGUCCAUCAGGCAGGCGUCUCUGGCUGGAGACCCCGAGUCCGUGAGCGUGGCGGAGCAAGAGAGCUGCCAGCUGGAGCAGGAGCUUGAGGCCAGACGUCUGGAGCUGCAGAACCUCAGACAGGAAGUAGAUUAUCUGAGCAGUCAAAGACAUCUUCACACUCAGCUGCUUCCUGCACGCCUGAAGGACGUGGAAAUGAAGUUCAGCAGUGUGCAGAUGGCACUGACCCAACAGAGCUCAGAGCUGAAGGACACACGGAUGCUCACGGACUUCCUGGAGAAGCUGGAGCUCGAGGAAAGCCACUACAGCACUCUGGGACAGCCGCUGUGUGGAGAGCUCGACUCUGGCCCGUCUCUUCUGGGCUCGCCGGUGAGCAGACAUGACGAGCCCCUGAUGGAAGCCAUUGGGAACCCUGUGAAGGAGCUCAGAGAAGCAGUGGAGAUGCUCAAUGACACGGCGCGGGAGAGGGGCCGCUCGCAGUCACAUGACCAGAGCAUCCAGGAGCUGAUCACCAGGCAUGCCAUGGUGUCAGCGCACGUGGAGCAGUGUCUGCAGCGCUGUGCGGAGCUCGCCGUAGAUGUGCUGGAGAUUGAAAGUGAGAUGGCUGUGAGAUGUGAGCCGGAUCGCUGUGGUCUGGAUGACCUGCAGGAGUACCAGGACCAGCUGGAGGCUGAAUACAGGGUCUUGAAGGAGGAGGUUGAGGCCAUGGUGAGUCUGGCGAGCUGUUUGUCAGACGUGUGCCCGGAGAGGAUGAACGCUGUAGGGACUGAGAUUCAGACCAGCCUGAACGCCUGGGACGAGCUCGGCAAAAGUGUGGCUGAAAACAAGAAGAGACUCCUGCAGUUCGGACACCUGCGCCAUUUCUUUAGGAACUACCUGGCAAUGAUCUCUUGGACAGAAGACACCCGCUCCUGCAUUUUCUCAGAAAGCGCUCUGCGUCAAAGCCGAGAGAACCAGGAGCCUCUGGUUGAGGUUCUGGAUCGGCAGAUAGAGCAGAAGUUUGAGGAGUUUGAUCAGCUCGCCGUGGCUGGAAAAAAACUCUUUGACGACGAGCAUCACCUCAACAAAAUGAUCAGAGAGAGGGUGGAGGAGCUGAGGAGCAUGCUGGGAUGGAUCCUGGUCCACUGGAGGGCUCAGAAGGAUCAGCUGUUGAGCAGACAGAAGACUGAAGAAGCUCAAACAGAUGCUAUUUACUCCGAGGCCAUGGUCUGCAGCCCACAAACACAGUUGGAAACCUCACCCGAGGUCUCUCAGAAGAAAACAGAAAGCCUCAAAAGUGCUCCCCCUGGUGACACGGAGGAUGGUUUGCAGCACAGUUAUGGAUAUGAGGUGAUGCAAAGUGUCAGUCCUAAAGGAAGCGAUGAUAGCGGUCGUUUAGAGAGGCCGGAUUCACCGUACCUGGUGCUAAAGGAACCCAGCCCAUCAGCUUUAGGAGGCACCGUCAACCUCAUCCUCAGCUUCAGUAACUCUGGAGACACACAAAUCCAGCCUGCUGAGUCUCACUCUUCUGCCUGUAAAAGCUUUUGGAAGCGCUGCCAGGGGCUUUUUGGUAGUUUAAAGCGAAAGACAAAGAUUUAUCAACACAGUGCAGAAGAGGACCAAUCCAUGAGCCUACUGUCUGUUCAUAUGGGAUUGGAUUGGACCAGUGACAAUGUUAUCCAGAGUGGAAGACAAGAACUGGAACUGCCAUCUAUGGAAGGUACACUGGAGAGGAAACAAAAACUACAACUCGGUGGAAAGAAGGCUUCAUGCAGGGCGUGGAACUCCUAUCAUGCUGUGCUAUACAAACAAACAAUAUGUUUCUAUCAGGACAGGAAAGAUACACUCAAGAGCUGUAUGACCAGCCUUCCUCUGAAUCUAAUCGGAGCGGUGUGUGAACCGUCGCCAGAGUACACCAAAAAACCCACUGCUUCUGCUUGAG